GGCUCGGUUGCUAAGUUGGUAAAGCACUCGUCUAGCAUACAAAAGUCCUGAGUAUGAAUCUCAGCCGAGCAC
rnacentral:tRNA from 1 species